rnacentral:rRNA from 1 species
AUACAACUUUCAACAACGGAUCUCUUGGCUCUCGCAUCGAUGAAGAACGCAGCGAAAUGCGAUAAGUAAUGUGAAUUGCAGAGUUCAGUGAAUCAUCGAAUCUUU